AUUGAACGCUGGCGGCAUGCCUUACACAUGCAAGUCGAACGGCAGCGGACCUUCGGGUGCCGGCGAGUGGCGAACGGGUGAGUAAUAUAUCGGAACGUACCUUUCAGUGGGGGAUAACGUAGCGAAAGUUACGCUAAUACCGCAUAUUCUGUGAGCAGGAAAGCAGGGGAUCGCAAGACCUUGCGCUGAUUGAGCGGCCGAUAUCAGAUUAGCUAGUUGGUGAGGUAAAGGCUCACCAAGGCGACGAUCUGUAGCGGGUCUGAGAGGAUGAUCCGCCACACUGGAACUGAGACACGGUCCAGACUCCUAUGGGAGGCAGCAGUGGGGAAUUUUGGACAAUGGGCGCAAGCCUGAUCCAGCCAUGCCGCGUGAGUGAAGAAGGCCU
rnacentral:rRNA from 1 species